rnacentral:misc_RNA from 1 species
UGAAUCACAACCACUUUAUUGAAUAUAAACGCAAUGACCAGCAGGCAGUGGGCGUGUUCAGCCAGUAAAUGGACCAAAUGUUAACAGUUGUGUCAUUUCUUAACACAGGCUAUAUUGCUUUAGAUAUACAGACUGCAGUUCUCCCCAUCUAAACAACUUUGCACAAGGGAUGAAAACCUAACCCAAAGAAAAUUGGAACAAGAGUAUAGAGCAGGUUGCUCUACUCAACUAGUCACAAGGCAUCCAAAUAUACCUUGCUUACUUUUCGGGCUCUCUCUUGAAGGAACCAACAGGUA